CAGCAGCCACGGUAAUACGUAGGUGGCAAGCGUUGUCCGGAAUCAUUGGGCGUAAAGCGCGCGCAGGCGGAUCAGUUAGUCUGUCUUAAAAGUUCGGGGCUUAACCCCGUGAGGGGAUGGAAACUGCUGAUCUAGAGUAUCGGAGAGGAAAGUGGAAUUCCUAGUGUAGCGGUGAAAUGCGUAGAUAUUAGGAAGAACACCAGUGGCGAAGGCGACUUUCUGGACGAAAACUGACGCUGAGGCGCGAAAGCCAGGGGAGCGAACGGGAUUAGAUACCCCGGUAGUCCCUGUCUCUUAUACA
rnacentral:rRNA from 1 species